rnacentral:rRNA from 1 species
UACAGAGGGGGCAAGCGUUAUUCGGAAUUAUUGGGCGUAAAGGGCGCGUAGGCGCCUGGCAAGUGGAUGGUGAAAUCCCUCGGCUUAACCGAGGAACUGCCAUCCAGACUGCUUGGCUUGAGACCGGGAGAGGUGAGUGGAAUUCCCAGUGUAGCGGUGAAAUGCGUAGAUAUCGGGAAGAACACCCGUGGCGAAGGCGGUUCUCUGGGACGGUACUGACGCUGAGACGCGAAAGCGUGGGGAGCGAACAGG